rnacentral:rRNA from 1 species
UACGGGGGGGGCAAGCGUUGUUCGGAAUUACUGGGCGUAAAGCGUGCGCAGGCGGUUGUGCAAGACAGGUGUGAAAUCCCCGGGCUUAACCUGGGAACUGCACUUGUGACUGCACGGCUGGAGUACGGCAGGGGGGGAUGGAAUUCCGCGUGUAGCAGUGAAAUGCGUAGAUAUGCGGAGGAACACCGAUGGCGAAGGCAGUCCCCUGGGCCUGUACUGACGCUCAUGCACGAAAGCGUGGGGAGCAAACAGG